AUACUUACCUGACAGGGGAGAUACCAUGAUCAGGAAGGUGGUUUUCUCAGGGUGAGGCUCACCCAUUGCACUGCGGGCAUGCUGACCCCUGCGAUUUCCCCAAAUACAGGAAACUCAACUGCAUAAUUUGUGGUAGUGGGGGACUGCGUCCACGCUCUCCCCUG
ensembl:snRNA U1 U1 spliceosomal RNA